rnacentral:rRNA from 1 species
UUUAACUGAGCGUUCAGUUACUUGACGUAGACCCGAAACCGGGCGACCUACCCAUGAGCAGGAUGAAGCGAAAGUAAAAUUUCGUGGAGGUCCGAACCCACGAGCGUUGAAAAGCUCGGGGAUGACUUGUGGGUAGCGGUGAAAUUCCAAUCGAGCCCGGAGAUAGCUGGUUCUCCCCGAAAUAGCUUUAGGGCUAGCCUCAAGGUGAGAGAUACGGAGGUAGAGCACUGAAUGUCCUAGGGGGUAUUGCACCUACCGAAGACUAUCAAACUCCGAAUGCCGUCAUCUUAUACUUGGGAGUCAGACUGUGGGUGAUAAGAUUCAUAGUCGAAAGGGCAACAGCCCAGAUCGUCAGCUAAGGUCCCUAAAUGUAAGUUAAGUGGUAAAGGAUGUGGGAUUGCACAGACAACCAGGAUGUUGGCUUAGAAGCAGCCACUCAUUCAAAGAGUGCGUAAUAGCUCACUGGUCGAGUGAUCCUGCGCCGAAGAUUUCCGGGGCUAAAACUUACUACCGAAGCUACGGCAUCAGUAAUGAUGGGUAGGGGAGCUUCCCAUACGGGUUGAAGCAUGACCGUAAGGACAUGUGGACAGUAUGGGAGUGAGAAUGUUGGCAUGAGUAGCGAGAUGUGGGUGAGAAUCCCACAGGCCGUAAACCCAAGGUUUCCAGGGGAAGGUUCGUCCGCCCUGGGUUAGUCGGGACCUAAGCUGAGGCCGAAAGGCGUAGGUGAUGGACAACAGGUUGAUAUUCCUGUACUACCGAUAACCGUUUGAGAGAAGGGAUGACACAGUAGGAUAAGCUAAGCACACUGUUGGUUAUGUGUGCCCAAGCAUUGAGGCAGUCAAAGUAGGCAAAUCCGCUUUGAUAAUGCUGGGAUGUGAUGGGGAGCGAAAUUUAGUAGCGAAGUAGCUGAUUUCACACUGUCAAGAAAAGUCUCUAUCGAGGUUAAAGGUACCCGUACCGCAAACCGACACAGGUGGGUGAGGAGAGUAUCCUAAGGCCAGCGAGAGAACUGUUGUUAAGGAACUCGGCAAAAUGACCCCGUAACUUAGGGAUAAGGGGUGCCACCAUCAGGUGGCCGCAGAGAAUAGGC